GAUGAACGCUGGCGGCGUGCCUAACACAUGCAAGUCGAACGGAUGCCUUCGGGCAUUAGUGGCGCACGGGUGAGUAACACGUGGUUGACCUACCCCAAAGUAAGGGAUAACGUUCCGAAAGGAAUGCUAAUACCUUAUAAGCUCCCGGAUUUUAGAAAACUGGGAGAAAAGUUCCGGCGCUUUGGGAGGGGACUGCGAAC
rnacentral:rRNA from 1 species